GAUGAACGCUGGCGGCGUGCCUAAUACAUGCAAGUCGAGCGAACGGACGAGAAGCUUGCUUUUCUGAUGUUAGCGGCGGACGGGUGAGUAACACGUGGAUAACCUACCUAUAAGACUGGGAUAACUUCGGGAAACCGGAGCUAAUACCGGAUAAUAUUUUGAACCGCAUGGUUCAAAAGUGAAAGACGGUCUUGCUGUCACUUAUAGAUGGAUCCGCGCUGCAUUAGCUAGUUGGUAAGGUAACGGCUUACCAAGGCAACGAUGCAUAGCCGACCUGAGAGGGUGAUCGGCCACACUGGAACUGAGACACGGUCCAGACUCCUACGGGAGGCAGCAGUAGGGAAUCUUCCGCAAUGGGCGAAAGCCUGACGGAGCAACGCCGCAUGAGUGAUGAAGGUCUUCGGAUCGUAAAACUCUGUUAUUAGGGAAGAACAUAUGUGUAAGUAACUGUGCACAUCUUGACGGUACCUAAUCAGAAAGCCACGGCUAACUACGUG
rnacentral:rRNA from 1 species